UAAGUAGAUAGUGAAAGCGUUCGGCUCAACCGAAUAUCCAUUAUCUAAACUGCUAAGCUAGAGGGCGAGAGAGGUAACUAGAAUUCCUUGUGUAGGAGUGGAAUCCGUAGAUAUAAGGAGGAAUACCGAUAGCGUAGGCAGGCUACUGGGACGUUUCUGACACUAAGGCACGAAAGCGUGGGGAGCAAACGGGAUUAGAUACCCCGGUAGUCCACGCUGUAAACGAUGGAUGCUA
rnacentral:rRNA from 1 species